UCUGUGCUCUCAAGGCUUUAAACUUUGUGUUUAAAAGUUUUAGAGCCUUGAGAGCACU
rnacentral:pre_miRNA from 1 species